CCUUUACCUGCUGAGGAAGGGAGUCCUGGUUAAGAGGUGGGAAAGGCCUUGGGGUUACCCACUCAGAAGUACAGCUCAACUGGAGAGAAGAGGAAAGUCCUGAUUGGUUGGUGCUGACUUUAGAGGAUUGCGGGGGGACUGUGAAAGUUCAGUGGAGACAGGCAGGUGCAACAGGCAUGUGAGAGCAGUGAGACCACCCUUGCUGAGCCUGCCCAGCGGCUCCUACUGCUGCAGCUGUGCUUGGGAGUGAAGUGUCGAGCUGCCUGUUUCAGGAGCCCUGUAUCUCUCAUCACCAUUUCCUGCAAAGCAGUCUUUCACGAAUGACUGCGGGACAUACUCACAACCCCUUCUUCAAGCUCACAAGUAAUGAGAUCCCCCAAGAACGGUUGCUGGCAGCCCACUACCGCUGUUGCUGGGGGCUGAGGGUUGAGUGGGUCUGA
rnacentral:lncRNA from 1 species